AGAGUUUGAUCAUGGCUCAGGAUAAACGCUGGCGGCGUGCUAAUGCAUGCAAGUCGAACGGGAGCUCACAUUCCCACCGUCUUCGGAUGGUGGCGUGGGUGGACCGUGGCGGACGGGUGAGGAACGCGUGGCCAACCUGCCCUGAUCACGGGGAUAACCGCCGGAAACGGCGGCUAAUACCCGAUACGCUGGCACCGGGGGACCGGUGUCAGGAAAGCGGUGGAAGUGCGGAUCAGGAGGGGGCUGCGCCCGAUUAGCUAGCUGGUGGGGUAACGGCUCACCAGGGCGACGAUCGGUAGCUGGUCUGAGAGGAUGAUCAGCCACACGGGGACUGAGACACGGCCCCGACUCCUACGGGAGGCAGCAGCAAGGAAUUUUCCCCAAUGGGCGCCAGCCUGAGGGAGCAACGCCGCGUGGGGGAGGACGCGUUUCGGCGUGUAAACCCCUUUUCCGAGGGACGAAGCAAGUGACGGUACCUCGGGAAGAAGGCCCGGCUAACUACGUGCCAGCAGCCGCGGUAAUACGUAGGGGCCAAGCGUUGUCCGGAGUUACUGGGCGUAAAGGGCGCGCAGGCGGUUGGUUACGUCGUGUGUGAAAGCCCCCGGCUCAACCGGGGAGGGUCGCGCGAAACGGGCCGACUGGAGGCAAGGCGAGGGCGGUGGAAUUCCCGGUGUAGUGGUGAAAUGCGUAGAGAUCGGGAGGAACACCAGAGGCGAAGGCGGCCGCCUGGACUUGACCUGACGCUGAGGCGCGAAGGCGUGGGGAGCGAACGGGAUUAGAUACCCCGGUAGUCCACGCAGUAAACGCUGGAUACUAGGUGUGGCCGGAGUUGACCCCGGCCGUGCCGGCGCUAACGCAGUAAGUAUCCCGCCUGGGGAGUACGGCCGCAAGGCUAAAACUCAAAUGAAUUGACGG
rnacentral:rRNA from 1 species